AGGGACACAAACGGUCCCUGCCAAGAGCAGAUGGAAUGUGGAGCUCACAACACGUGCACGUGACCGUCUCUGCGAAGGCUGCAUGGACCGGAAUGAGCCGCGGGAUCCAGAAAAUGAAGUGGUCCUCAUUUGCAGGAAUUGAACUCAGGACCUUGCGCUUGCCAGGCACAGAGCCACCAAGCUAAAUCCCCGGCCCUUGAGGAGCCUCAGUCAUAGACAUCACUUCAACUCAAACACUUGCUGAGCAUCUGGAGCGCGGAUGAAAAGCUCACCUGGAUCCUGCCCUGGGAGCUUCACAGGGCCUUCCAGCCUGGGGAGGACUUGGAAAUGGUGUGCUGUGGCCUACGGAUGUUCAGAAAGCAUCUGGUCUCUCUUCUCGUCCUUGGGUGCCUGGGGCCUGACUGAGCUCGGGGAGGUCAGUCUUCCCUCAUGGGCCUUGGGGCCUGCAUCUAGAGCCAUUUGUCUGCACCCAGAGGGCAGAGGCUGG
ensembl:lncRNA